CUACAUUAAAACAGCCUACGGAGAACAUACGGUGCAAUGCGGAACACGUGCUGCUAAAAGAGGGUUCUAUUCCUCAAGCUCCCAAUUGGAAGAGGCCCAUCCCACUAAUUGUUGAAAAACGACGUUCGAGACAGAAAAACCCACCAAAACUGGACC